rnacentral:rRNA from 1 species
GACGAACCGUGCGAACGUUGUUCGGAAUCACUGGGCUUAAAGGGCGCGUAGGCGGAUGACCAAGUCAGGGGUGAAAGCCCGCAGCUUAACUGCGGAAGUGCCUUUGAUACUGGUUGUCUCGAGGGAGAUAGGGGCAUGUGGAACUUCCGGUGGAGCGGUGAAAUGCGUAGAUAUCGGAAGGAACGCCGGUAGCGAAAGCGACGUGCUGGAUCUCUUCUGACGCUGAGGCGCGAAAGCUAGGGGAGCAAACGGG